rnacentral:rRNA from 1 species
UACACGCUGUGACUAGCAUAUCAAUAAGCGGAGGAAAAGAAACUAACAAGGAUUCCCCUAGUAACGGCGAGUGAAGCGGGAAGAGCUCAAAUUUGAAAUCUUAAAGGGUUUCCCUUUACGAAUUGUAGUUUAAAGAAGUGUUUUCUGUUGAGGUUUUGGUAAAAGUUCUUUGGAAUAGGACAUCAUAGAGGGUGAGAAUCCCGUAUUUGACCUUUACUUUCAACUUUGUGAUACACUUUCAAAGAGUCGGAUUGUUUGGGAAUGCAGUCCAAAAUGGGUGGUAAAUUUCAUCUAAAGCUAAAUAUUGGCGAGAGACCGAUAGCGAACAAGUACCGUGAGGGAAAGAUGAAAAGAACUUUGAAAAGAGAGUUAAACAGUACGUGAAAUUGUCAAAAGGGAAGCGUUUGACACCAGUGUUGUUUUUCUGAAAAUCAAUUAAAGAACUGUUUAUGCUAAGCUGUUUAGACUUUAUCAGCUAUCUGUUUAGUUUUGAGCUUUUCUUUAAUGCACUUUUCAGUUAACAAGUCAACAUCAAUUUCUUUUGCUGUAAAAAAGCUUGAGGAAGGUGGCUUGAGAUUCGUCUUAAGUGUUUAUAGCCUCUUGCCUAUGCAGUCGGAGAGAUAGAGGUCUGCAGCGUAGAUCCUUCGGGGCUAAAUGCAUUUGUGCUAAGUUAUAGCAUUUUAUAGACAACUUGUUGACUAUGAUUUGUCUUGUAGCUUACUCGCUUAUGUUAUUUUACCUACGCUUAGGAUGUUGACUGAUAUGUAGUCGUA